GACGGAGGAUGCAAGUGUUAUCCGGAAUCACUGGGCGUAAAGCGUCUGUAGGUGGUUUAAAAAGUCCACUGUUAAAAAUUGAAGCUUAACUUCAAAGAUGCCGUGGAAACUUUUAAACUUGAGUAUGAUAGGGGUAGAGGGAAUUUCCAGUGGAGCGGUGAAAUGCGUAGAUAUUGGAAAGAACACCAACGGCGAAAGCACUCUGCUGGGCCGACACUGACACUGAGAGACGAAAGCUAGGGGAGCGAAUGGG
rnacentral:rRNA from 1 species